AAUAUCCACUAGGGGAGCCAAUAGGCUGAGACGGCGCUUUACGCGACGGACCCUUUGAACCUGAUCUGGGUGAUACCAGCGGAGGAAAGUGGCGCAUUGAGUUU
rfam:Bacillus sp. LL01 scaffold6.1, whole genome shotgun sequence.